GGAUCAAUGAUGACAAGAAGUCUCUGAAAAUGGUGAUCAACUUGUAACUAUGCCAAUCUGAUCUCC
rfam:Mesocricetus auratus contig197539, whole genome shotgun sequence.